AACAAAGUGGCCGAGUUAAGGUGGUAAAUUGUAAAUUUAUUUAUGGGUUUAAUCUCCUUUGUU
rnacentral:tRNA from 1 species